GCGAAAACUUUACAAUGCUGGCAACAGCGAUAAGGGAACCUCGAGUGCCAGGUUACAAAUCUGGCUGUCGAGAUGCCUAAAAAGCAUUUCAUAGCAAGGGCCGGGCAAGACCGGUGCCAGCCGCCGCGGUAGCACCGGCGGCUCGAGUGGUAACCGUUAUUAUUGGGUCUAAAGGGUCUGUAGCCGGCCGGAUAAGUCUCUUGAGAAAUCUGGCAGCUUAACUGUCAGGCUUUCAAGAGAUACUGUCUGGCUCGAGGCCGGGAGAGGUGAGAGGUACUUCAGGGGUAGGGGUGAAAUCUUGUAAUCCUUGAAGGACCACCAGUGGCGAAGGCGUCUCACCAGAACGGACCUGACGGCAAGGGACGAAAGCUAGGGGCACGAACC
rnacentral:rRNA from 1 species